UGUUGAUGAAACAAAGGUUGAUGAUAACAUUGAUGAUGAUGGUGAUAAUGCUAAUGUUGACUAAGCAUCUCUAUACAGGAGGUGAAGCUGAGACUGCGGGUAUGUGUUUCGAGGAGAAAGAGACCACAGAGGUGAAGUGCCAUUUUCAUCACAUCAAGUCAAGAGUCAAGCAUCAACUCAACCUACUGCUGUUGAUAUUAAUCUUGAACAUUUGGCCUAGGUUGUGUUUGCCAGGUUUCUAGACUAUAAAGUUACUCUGCCCCCACUUUUCAUACCAGAUUCUUUGGAAAGAGAUCACCCUGUGUAGCUCAAGCCCAAGGAGUGAGAAGUGUUGCCCCACCUCCUU